rnacentral:tRNA from 1 species
GCGAAUGUAGCUCAGUUGGUUAGAGCGCGGGUUUGUGGUACCUGAGGUCGCGGGUUCGAGUCCCGUCCUUCGCCCCA